AGAAACACUUUUCCAAAUGUGUUACCAAUACCAUUGAUAGUUAAAUUAAAUUUCAAGCACGAUCCCUUCAGUUUGCACAAGCUUAAAUAGAUGGCAAUUAAGGAGCACUGCUUUGCUGAGCAGAGGCAUUCAAAUACAAAUCAGAAGGAAUACACGGUCUAGAAGGCAGCACUUCUCUUCCCUAGGAAGUGAGAGACACCUGUAUAAUGCAACAUUACUAUAUCCACCACCAUGGGGGAAAAAAAGAAAUCCCCUCAGAUUUAGCUCUUUUGAAUGUCCAAGCAGCUCAGCAUUUCGCUUGUGGCCUUCCAUAUUCCUGAGCAGACUUCAAGAGCUGUUCAGAAUUUGAAUGGAUCUUGUUUAAGGAACGGUAAAAAAAGCAAAACUUUAAAACAAAAACAAACAAAAAAAAACCCCCAAACCCUCAUAGUUCUAAACUCCAUAAAAGUCCUUUCAUUUUCAAAAAGGUUAACUCAAAACUUUUUUUUUUUUUAAACUGGUAUCAGUUAACAUGGCAAUCUGAGUGCUAAACAGAAAUCAACCCAACUAACCCCUGAAAGUCUGAAUAAAAAUGAGUAACUCUGGUGCACUCAGCAGGUCUCUGAUGGAAGCUGAUAAGAAUUUUAAAUGCUUCUUUUUUCUCCAGAACUCUAGUAAAGUUUUUGUUUUAAGAGAUUUUUGAACUCAUUUUGUAAAAACAAAAAUAAACAAUUACAGAUGAAGUAGCUAGGGGUCAGGAAAAACAUGCCAACAAAUGCCACAAACUUUACCUUUGCUAAGGGAAGAUAAAUAGUACAAUGAAAGUCUGUCUAGUUUGUUUUACAAGCUUGUCUUUCUUGGUACUGAAGAAACAGUCCUAUUCCCUGGUUUAACUUUCCAGCUCGCUGACCUGCCUUUGUCCUGUACCGAAGAGCAAGAAGGGAACAGAAGUUUUUUGCACCCCAACAAAUGCAUGAGAGAAAUAUUAUUGCACCUACCUAUGGGUACUUUUUGGUUACAAAGCACAAAGUAUUUCACUUGGACAGUCUCUCUCGCUGGUCUUUGUGCCUUUAAUUUCUUACAAAAAUACUAAAGAUGCUUAACACCCCUGCUUAUUAGGACAGCAAGAUGACAAGGAAGGAAGAGCACCAGGCACUCCAAUGUUCUAACCCCCAUCUUCAAUCGGUCAGCGUUACCCCAGCUGCAAAACAGCUGCUGCUGGUUUACCUGCUUGUUACCUCAUUCCACAGGCUGAAAGUGCAGCACGCGCUAGAUGUCACAAAUUACAUAUAGAACUGUGCAUUAUGAUGCAUACGUAAACCACACAUCAUCACGUCGUCUGAAGCCACAGGAGAACCUCUUGCUAACACAUCUCAUUCUCUGUAUCAAAAUCUAAAGCUAAGUUGUCCAAAGCUGAAGCAGAAUAGUCACAAUUUCUAGUCUUUACAUUUGUUUUAGUCAAUUCUAGCUGUCAGAUUCUGCCUAAACCUAGACUGGGGACAUGUUGUGAGCCUGGGAGUUACAGCACUCAAGACCCACUCAGAGCAAAGACUGCAAGGUUGCCAGCCAAGAAGGCAAAGGUUAAAGCAGAUGAUCAUCUCCGCUUCCUCUGCCAUUGAGUCAAGGUCACCUUGCAUCGUGAUCUCCGAGAGCCAGAGCCGUGAGUUACCACAGCCGUGAGGCAGAGCUGCCCCUUGCCGGCUGGAGCAACUCUAUUUGAAGAUGUGCCACUUCAGGGACCUGAAUUAGGACAUUCUUCCUUAAGAUGAGAGGCAAAUCAAUCCGCUCCUGAAAGGGCUGAUUGGCCUGGUGUUUCUGUAACUGUCAAAGAAUAACCUCGUACUGAAGCACUCAUCAGAUCAGACGCUGCUUCAGUACAGACUUGUCUUUAGCUUGACACAUCAAGACUCAGGAGUGCUUCAAAGCAACCUUUAAAGCAGGGAUCUAGUAAAGCGGCCAAGGCGAAAAGUGUUCAGAUCCGAGCACACCACUCUGUAGAAAAUCAGUUUCGAGCCUAAGAUAUUUCACGCAUCUCGCAGUCCAAAAGGGACAGUGACACCUUUGAUCUGAAAGUCUUUCCACAUGCUCUGCAAAGCCACAAGGACGUGACUGAUGGCAGCACUUGACUAAGAACUGUAGUUCCCCACUGGCCUCCACCUCCAGGCCAAGAAUCUUGCACCCAUCAGACAUCUGGGACGACUGGAAUGACCUGAGAAUAGUCCCAUUCUCCCUCGCAGGAGGAUGCUGCUCCACUUUCUGCUGGUUUGAAGUCACUUUAACAUAUAAAAGGUAGAAAGAGAUUCACUGAGCAGCUAUUUCCUGCGUCAAGUGAUCUGUGGAAAAUGGUUUGAAUACUGGAAUUCCUGAAGAAUUUGAUGGGUCUCAGCAGAAUGAGCAAGCAAAUCUAUUAAGCACCCGCUAACCUGUUCUCAGUGCUCCCGCGCUCAAAGUCCUGAUUCAUUAAUUUUAAAAUAUACGUAACAUUGCAGCUGGCACCUAGCACUGCGCACACAGCCUCGGCAGUGCUGUCGGAAGCUGGAAAGCCAGGGGUGAGGGGAUUAAGGGAAAGCCACACGUCAAUUUGGUAACUUGGUUCUUGUAGGACGCUUCCUACUGCAGAAGUUUUAGCAAAGCCAGUGGGAGGGAGCUGCCUGUUUUCUAAAAGGGGACUUCUGCUGGUGCAGUGUAUCAAAAGAUAUCCUCGGGCCAUCACUGUCAAGUAGUCCACGGUUCAUUCAGGGUCUACGUAUCAAUAGUUAAAUGUGCAUUUUUGUGUUGUGCUUUCUCCAAAGGUUAUGAAAAACUUUUCUUUUACAAUGCUCUAUAGUCACGUUAUAGAUGGGAACUGACUGUCUAGUGCUCCAAUCUGUAUGAACUUCUAAUAAGCUGGCAUAAGUGUCUUCAGUAAUCAAUUUUAUAAUACCUCUGUUUAUCUGUUAUUUAAGUGCAUUUUCAUAUCUGAACUUCUUCACAGCAGUACGUACUUGAGAGUCUGAGUCCCAUGGUUAAGAUUUAUGUCCUUUCUCCUACCAAGCACCUGCUCAGUAGGCAAAGAUGGAAUAGGAACACCCAAGCCUGGAAAUGUUAAACCACAACUGGCUCUGAGCCUAUCCGUUGAAAAGAAAUAGCUCCAUACAUCACCUUCAUGGGGCAAAAAUUCAUGUGGAACAGUAGAAAAAUCCAGAAGUGCUUCCCGAGUUUCAGGUUACCAACAGCACCAUCAGAUUUAGGUCCUGCCCCAGUGUGCAGGACGCGUCAUCUGCAAGUGUUGCUGCAACAUGGAAGUGCCAAGGCGAGUCCCUGCCCUGCCCAACACACUUUUUAAACGUUGCAAGGAGUGUGCCAGGUAUACCGAGGGUCAACUGAGAAGUUCCAGACAACAGAUGCGUUUGUCUCCUUUCUGGCAUCAAAAGGCUUUUGACAGUAUCGCUUCCGUGAAGAAAACUCCUAUCUUCUCCAGAUGCUCCAGGAUCCACUACUGCUGCAGCUGCAACGGCUACACUGGUACGACCCACAUCUAUGGCAAAUCUCUUUGACAGCUCUUGUUUACAGGGGCACAUCUGCAGUCCACUCCUCCUCUUCCAGCUGAAAAACCAGCCCGCUGGCUCUGCCACGCUGUCACUGCUGACACAAGAGCUGAGAACACACGUCGAACUCCCACUGUUAAAACUUCUGUCUGGGGAGAUGGUUGACAGACACGUUACAGGCAUAUUCACCCUCCCUACAGCGCUUACAGCUGAGACACCUGGCUGUUAGCCGCGGCCCAAUGCACACAACGCUCUGCUUGGAGACGUCACCGAAGAGUCAGUGUCCCCAGAUGAGUACCUGGCUUGCCACAGUUGAUUUUUUUUUUUUUAAAAAAACGUAUGCUGGAUAUGGCACACCAGGUGAACCACAGAUCCAAAGUUCCACAUAAUGGAAGUCUUUGCUCUUCUUCCAGGCAACAGUGCAUGCUUUAACAUACUGCGUUCAAUGAAGAAGCUCCCUCCAUCUUGCUCAGUGGCAACAGGCAUGACUGCAGCACACUCAGGUGUAGCAGUAUCUGCAGGUCCCAGAUCCUUAACAAAUUUUUAGAUAGCACCAAUUUUCUAUGUAGUGGCUUUCCCUUAAUGCAUAACCCCUUCUUUCCUACAUUUUUAGUGGGUGGCUCUUCUCUAUCGUUCUGUCCACCAGCUUUUCCUCCUUGAUGUCCGAAUGGGCAUCGAGAAUCAAUUCCAAACUAAGGGGACUGCUAAAGCUGCUACAUCUACUCUUGGGUGAGACAGGCAUACUUAAAGAAAAGAAAAGGCACUCAUUCUUUUUCUAUUUCUAAAAUCAACACCGGGGCCUGGCAGCAAUUUACUACGGCAAUUCAUCUUCCUCGCUGAAAUAUUUUAUUGAAUCUCAAAAAGAGUCAAUUUCCCCUGGAAGCAGCCAUUUGGAAGGGUGCCAUUUUAGAUGAGAAGCAACAGCAAGAGGAAGUUUUCUCUAGACUAGCUUUUCUCCCGAAACACCUGGCCAUCCAGCAACAAAUUCAGCCUAUCUGUUCAGCCUGACCAGCUUAACGCGUGUCCAAUUCAACCACGUGCCACAGCGGUGGUUCUGAUAUCAUUUCAAAAUCCCCUAUCCCCGGGAGAUCUCCUUUUUUACAAUCAAAUAACACAGUGUUUGAUUUUGAACGUAUGGCCCAGAGCUCAAUCUCCGAGUGCAGCGUGCACCCCAGAGCACCAGUUCUGGGAACAAUCUGUAGGCUCCACACAUGGAUCCCUGCAACAGUAAAAAUCACUUUUGCACUUUCAUUAUAAACAUCAAUGUAAGAAACCAGAAGCCUCUGAGAGCCAAUUCUUAAGAGCAAAACCAAACGUCACCCAAUAGGGUUGUUUUAAACAACCUAAAGGAGAAAUUAAGAUGACAACCGGGUGCAUCCAGAGUUAGUCAGAUCCUGAAGGCAGUUCCUUUGGGGAACGGAGGAGCAAUUUGUCAGAUGACUA